ensembl:lncRNA
GGAGAAGAGCGGAAGAGCAAAGCACUGCAAAUUUACACCAGACUGCGAGACGGAAACAAGCCGACUGAGCCCAGCAAGCCGAGAAGCUGUUCCAGGUUUGAGGACUUUGAUUUCCUGGCCAAGUACUGCAUUAUCAGUCCUGAGAAGCUCGCCGCAUACAGACGUGCUUUUGAAGCUGUGGACAGUGAUGGUGAUGGCUAUCUAUCGUGCUUUCAAGUACUGCUGGCUCUAAAGGAGAUCAUUCCUCCAGAACUGCUGACUGAAGAGGAGGAAAUCUAUGUGUACAGGAUUCUAGAGCUGGUUGAUUUCAGCGUGACUGAGGGUCUGACGGAUUUGCGUCUCUUCGCCGUCGUUGCCAGUCUGGCACAGAAGAUAGCCACACUAGACAGUUGUUCCUGUUCCUGCUGGAGGGCCAGUCUGAGGGCAGCGAGGCACCACAGGGUCGUAUCAGUGCUGAACAACUGCUUGUGGAGCUGAAGGCAGGGGGGAUCCGUGAGGAGCAGGAGGAAGAGGUCAGGCGUGAACUCCGUAGCCUUCGCUCCCUCGACCUGCUUGACUUCCUCGCACACCUACCCCUCUUCAUCCUCAUCCACAACUCCGUCAUUGCCAACCCGCUGGAUGACUCUAGCAACCUGUGACAGAAACACCAAAGCUGUGUUAUGUUUUAAAGGCAGCAUCCAUAUCGCAUGCAAGCCAUACUGUCAGGAUGCCCUGUCACAGCUUCUAGUGCACCUUACUCACGAUAUUCGUUUAUUCACUACCGCUUAUCAGCUUCGAUCAGCAAUAAAACUGAACAUGAAUACAAUUUUCUGUGUGAAAAAAAAAAAUGCUUCGUUUAAGAAAUGUCACGGUACACCAAUGGAGCAGGUCGUUUCAUUUUGCCGUUCAUCGAGAUGAACUUUGACCUGCAAAUGAUGCGCCUAAGGUG